UAUCAGAAGUGAAAAUGUUGACAUGAGUAGCGACAAACAGGGUGAGAGACCCUGUCGCCGAAAGUCCAAGGGUUCCUGCUUAAAGCUAAUCUGAGCAGGGUAAGCCGGCCCCUAAGGCGAGGCCGAAAGGCGUAGUCGAUGGGAACCAGGUUAAUAUUCCUGGGCCAGGAGAUGGUGACGGAUCGCAGAGGUAGUUCUUCCUUAUCGGAUUGGAAGGGCUGCUGAGUGGUUCCUGGAAAUAGCCCUCCAUGAGACCGUACCCUAAACCGACACAGGUGGACUGGUAGAGAAUACCAAGGCGCUUGAGAGAACCACAUUUAAGGAACUCGGCAAAAUACCUCCGUAAGUUCGCGAGAAGGAGGCCCCGUUUGUACGCAAGUAUGGGCGGGGGGCACAAACCAGGGGGUGGCGACUGUUUACUAAAAACACAGGGCUCUGCGAAGCCGUAAGGCGACGUAUAGGGUCUGACGCCUGCCCGGUGCCGGAAGGUUAAAAGGAGAUGUGCAAGCAUUGAAUUGAAGCCCCGGUAAACGGCGGCCGUAACGAUAACGGUCCUAAGGUAGCGAAAUUCCUUGUCGGGUAAGUUCCGACCUGCACGAAUGGCGUAACGACUUCCCCGCUGUCUCAAAUGUGGACUCAGCGAAAUUGAAUUGUCUGUGAAGAUGCAGACUUCCCGCGGUUAGACGGAAAGACCCCAUGCACCUUUACUAUAGCUUCGCACUGGCAUCAGGAUUGUGAUGUGCAGGAUAGGUGGUAGGCAUUGAAACCGGGACGCCAGUUCCGGUGGAGCCAUCCUUGAGAUACCACCCUUCGCACUCUUGAUGUCUAACCGCGGCCCGUUAUCCGGGUCCGGGACCCUGCGUGGUGGGUAGUUUGACUGGGGCGGUCGCCUCCCAAAGAGUAACGGAGGCGCGCGAAGGUUGGCUCAGAGCGGUCGGAAAUCGCUCGUUGAGUGCAAUGGCAGAAGCCAGCCUGACUGCAAGACUGACAAGUCGAGCAGAGACGAAAGUCGGCCAUAGUGAUCCGGUGGUCCCGAGUGGAAGGGCCAUCGCUCAACGGAUAAAAGGUACGCUGGGGAUAACAGGCUGAUGAUGCCCAAGAGUCCAUAUCGACGGCAUCGUUUGGCACCUCGAUGUCGGCUCAUCUCAUCCUGGGGCUGGAGCAGGUCCCAAGGGUAUGGCUGUUCGCCAUUUAAAGAGGUACGUGAGCUGGGUUUAGAACGUCGUGAGACAGUUCGGUCCCUAUCUGCCGUGGGUGUAGGAUACUUGAGAGGAGUUGCCCCUAGUACGAGAGGACCGGGGUGAACGUUCCACUGGUGGACCAGUUGUCGUGCCAACGGCAGUGCUGGGUAGCUAUGAACGGACAGGAUAAACGCUGAAGGCAUCUAAGCGUGAAGCCCCCCUCAAAACAAGGUAUCCCUUGAGAGCCGUGGAAGACCACCACGUCGAUAGGCCGGAGAUGUAAGCGCAGCAAUGCGUUCAGUUGACCGGUACUAAUGGCUCC
rnacentral:rRNA from 1 species